GACGUAGGGCGCGAGCGUUGUCCGGAUUUAUUGGGCGUAAAGAGCUCGUAGGCGGCUUGUCGCGUCGUUCGUGAAAACCUGCAGCUCAACUGCAGGCUUGCGGUCGAUACGGGCAGGCUGGAGUUCGGUAGGGGAGACUGGAAUUCCUGGUGUAGCGGUGGAAUGCGCAGAUAUCAGGAGGAACACCAAUAGCGAAGGCAGCUCGCUGGGACGGUACUGACGCUAAGGCGCGAAAGCGUGGGGAGCGAACAGG
rnacentral:rRNA from 1 species